CCUUGAGGGUCCUGAAGGAACGUUGAAGACGACGACGUUGAUAGGCCGGGUGUGUAAGCGCAGCGAUGCGUUGAGCUAACCGGUACUAAUGAACCGUGAGGCUUAACCUUACAACGCCGAAGGUGUUU
rnacentral:rRNA from 1 species